AGUCGAGCGGGCAUCCUUGUGGUGUCAGCGGCAGACGGGUGAGUAACGCGUGGGAACGUGCCCUUCUGUUCGGAAUAACUCAAGGAAACUUGAGCUAAUACCGGAUACGUGCGAGAGCAAAAAGGUUUACUGCCGAAGGAUCCGCCCUCGUCUGAUUAACUUGUUGGUGAGGUUACGGCUCACCGAGGCGACCAUCAGUAGCUGGUCUGAGAGGAUGAUCCACCCCGCUGGGACUGAAACACCGCCCAUACUCCUACGGGAGGCAGCGGUGGGGAAUAUUGGACGAUGGGGGCAACCCUGAUCCCGCCCUGCCGCGUGAAUGAUGACCGCCUUAUGGUUGUAAAGCUCUUUUCUCCGGGACGAUAAUGACGGUACCGGAAGAAUAACCCCCGGCUAACUUCCUGCCAGCCGCCGCGGUAAUACGAAGGGGGCUAGCGUUGCUCGGAAUCACUGGGCGUAAAGGGCGCGUAGGCGGCUGAUUUAGUCGAGGGUGAAAGCCCGUGGCUCAACCACGGAAUGGCCUUCAAUACUGGUUGGCUUGACACCGGAAGAAGACAGCGGAACUGCUAGUGUAGAGGUGAAAUUCGUAAAUAUUCGCAAGAACACCGGUGGCGAAGGCGGCUGUCUGGUCCUGUUCUGACGCUGAGGCGCGAAAUCGUGGGGAACCAACAUGAUUAAAUACCCUGGUACUCCACGCUGUAAACGAAGAAUGCCAACCGUUGUGGUGCCUGCACCUUAGUGGCGCCGCUAAUGCUUUAAGCAUUCCUCCUGGGGAGUACCGUCGCAAUAUUACAACUCAGAAGAAUUGGCGGGGGCCCCCACCGGCUGUGGAGGUUGUUGUUUUAUU
rnacentral:rRNA from 1 species